rnacentral:rRNA from 1 species
UACGAAGGGGGCUAGCGUUGCUCGGAAUCACUGGGCGUAAAGGGUGCGUAGGCGGGUCUUUAAGUCAGGGGUGAAAUCCUGGAGCUCAACUCCAGAACUGCCUUUGAUACUGAGGAUCUUGAGUACGGGAGAGGUGAGUGGAACUGCGAGUGUAGAGGUGAAAAUUCGUAGAUAUUCGCAAGAACACCAGUGGCGAAGGCGGCUCACUGACCCGUAACUGACGCUGAGGCACGAAAGCGUGGGGAAGCAAACAGGGAUUAAGAAACCCUGGUAACGUC